rnacentral:rRNA from 1 species
GAUGAACGCUGGCAGAAUGCUUAACACAUGCAAGUCGACUGGAAUUUGGGUUUUUAACUUAGGUUUGGGUGGCGGACGGGUGAGUAACGCGUAAAGAACUUGCCUCACAGCUAGGGACAACAAUUGGAAACGAAUGCUAAUACCUAAUAUUAUGAUAAUAGAGCAUCCUAUAAUUAUGAAGACUAUAAGCGCUGUGAGAGAGCUUUGCGUCCCAUUAGCUAGUUGGGGAGGUAACGGAUCAGACAGGAGAUGAUGGGUAGCCGGCCUGGGAGGGUGAUCGGCCACAAGGGGCUUGGGACACGGCCAGUACGCAUACGGGAGGCAGGAGUGGGGACUAGUGGAAGCUGGACCGAGAGUCUGAUCCAGGACUUCUGUGCGUAAGAUGAAGUUUUUCGGGAUGUAAAGUGCUUUCAGUUGGGAAGAAAAACAUGACGGUACCUACAGAAGAAGUGACGGCUAACUACGUG